rnacentral:rRNA from 1 species
GACGAACGCUGGCGGCGUGCCUAAUACAUGCAAGUUGAGCGCUGAAGGUUGGUACUUGUACCAACUGGAUGAGCAGCGAACGGGUGAGUAACGCGUGGGGAAUCUGCCUUUGAGCGGGGGACCACAUUUGGAAACGAAUGCUAAUACCGCAUAAAAACUUUAAACACAAGUUUUAAGUUUGAAAGAUGCAAUUGCAUCACUCAAAGAUGAUCCCGCGUUGUAUUAGCUAGUUGGUGAGGUAAAGGCUCACCAAGGCGAUGAUACAUAGCCGACCUGAGAGGGUGGGCGGCCACAUUGGGAAUGAGACACGACCCAAACGCCUACGGGAGGCAGCAGUAGGGAAUCUUCGGCAAUGGACGAAAGUCGGACCGGGCGACGCCGCGUGAGUGAAGAAGGUUUUCGGAUCGUAAAACUCUGUUGGUAGGGAAGAACGUGGGUGAGAGUGGAAAGCUCAUCAAGUGACGGUAACUACCCAGAAAGGGACGGCUAACUACGUG